rnacentral:rRNA from 1 species
CAUGUAGGCGGAUUAAUAAGUUUGAAGUGAAAUCCUAUAGCUUAACUAUAGAACUGCUUUGAAAACUGUUAAUCUAGAAUGUGGGAGAGGUAGAUGGAAUUUCUGGUGUAGGGGUAAAAUCCGUAGAGAUCAGAAGGAAUACCGAUUGCGAAGGCGAUCUACUGGAACAUUAUUGACGCUGAGAUGCGAAAGCGUGGGGGGCAAACA